rnacentral:rRNA from 1 species
CUUAGCCUACGGGACGCAGCAGUGGGGAAUAUUGCACAAUGGGGGAAACCCUGAUGCAGCGACGCCGCGUGAGCGAAGAAGUAUUUCGGUAUGUAAAGCUCUAUCAGCAGGGAAGAAAAUGACGGUACCUGACUAAGAAGCCCCGGCUAACUACGUGCCAGCAGCCGCGGUAAUACGUAGGGGGCAAGCGUUAUCCGGAUUUACUGGGUGUAAAGGGAGCGUAGACGGCAUAGCAAGUCUGAGG